rnacentral:rRNA from 1 species
CACGGGGGGAGCAAGCGUUGUUCGGAAUCACUGGGCGUAAAGGGCGUGUAGGCGGUCAGGUAAGUGAGAUGUGAAACGCCCCGGCUCACCCGGGGACCUGCAUCUCAAACUGCCUGGCUUGAGUAUGGGAGAGGAUGAGGGAAUUCCUGGUGUAGCGGUGAAAUGCGUAGAUAUCAGGAGGAACACCGAUGGCGAAGGCAGCUCGCUGGGACGGUACUGACGCUGAGACGCGAAAGCGUGGGGAGCAAACAGG